rnacentral:rRNA from 1 species
UACGGGGGGGGCAAGCGUUGUUCGGAAUUACUGGGCGUAAAGGGCUCGUAGGUGGCCAACUAAGUCAGACGUGAAAUCCCUCGGCUUAACCGGGGAACUGCGUCUGAUACUGGAUGGCUUGAGUUUGGGAGAGGGACGCGGAAUUCCAGGUGUAGCGGUGAAAUGCGUAGAUAUCGGGAGGAACACCGGCGGCGAAGGCGGCGAUCUGGGUCGAUACUGACGCUGAGGUGCGAAAGCGUGGGGAGCAAACAGG